CCCACAGAGUAGCUAUAAAGAGGAGGACACGAAGCGCUGGAGCCGGAACCGGCUGUUCACGAAGUAGGACAAGGAGCGGACAAUGUGGGGAAGAAGCGGAAGCGGAAGAAUAAGAAUAAGAAUAAGAUUUCAUUGCUUUAUUUUUGUUUUCCCCCGCAUUUUGAAAAUAGCAUCUUUCUUGACACAAUAACAAAUAUGAAAACGAUACACAUUGCCACCACCAGAUGAGACAUCGAUAUGCACAUCACGUUCCGCAAGGAUUAAAAGGAAAAAAAAAAAUAGAAAGAAAACGAAAGAAAGAAAGAGGACAGCGAAGAAAAUGCUCAAAAUAUACGAUUGAGAUUUACUCAAACGUUGCGCGUUGCGGGGAUAGAAAAGGGUCUGUUCGUACAGUACAUGUAGAUUUGGGAGAUCGGAGACAAUGGGG
rnacentral:sRNA from 1 species